GACGAACGCUGGCGGCGUGCUUAACACAUGCAAGUCGAACGGAAAGGCCCUGCUUUUGUGGGGUGCUCGAGUGGCGAACGGGUGAGUAACACGUGAGUAACCUGCCCUUGACUUUGGGAUAACUUCAGGAAACUGGGGCUAAUACCGGAUAGGAGCUCCUGCUGCAUGGUGGGGGUUGGAAAGUUUCGGCGGUUGGGGAUGGACUCGCGGCUUAUCAGCUUGUUGGUGGGGUAGUGGCUUACCAAGGCUUUGACGGGUAGCCGGCUUGAGAGGGUGACCGGCCACAUUGGGACUGAGGUACGGCCCAGACUCCUACGGGAGGCAGCAGUGGGGAAUAUUGCACAAUGGGCGGAAGCCUGAUGCAGCAACGCCGCGUGCGGGAUGACGGCCUUCGGGUUGUAAACCGCUUUCGCCUGUGACGAAGCGUGAGUGACGGUAAUGGGUAAAGAAGCACCGGCUAACUACGUG
rnacentral:rRNA from 1 species